rnacentral:lncRNA from 1 species
ACAGAAGAGCGAAAUUGUUUGAUCAGAAAGUCAGAAGCUAAAAAUAUGUAUGUAAACAAAUCAUCUUUUCUUCUGGUGAUCCACACAGCAACUUAACUUACCGACCUCAAUACUGCUCAAAUUGGAACGAGACAAUGAGCUCCCCUUGUGUUCAUGACUACAUAAUGUUUUCAUGUUCUAAGUUUCCAAACAACCUGGUUCUUUCACUCUAGGGGAUUAUGUAGACAGAAAUUAGGAAAAUGUAUAUAGUCAAUUAUAACAACAAUGUAACAUCACCAAAGUCAGUUAAAUUUUAAGAUGCAUGUAUGAUCCAGGUUCUAUAGAACAUGGUAGAAGGUGAAGUACGCAAACAAAACAAAUUUGGUGCUCAGAGCCUCAGACCAAAGACAUAUUGUUGGGAAAAUUUC